ACAAGAAUUGCAAGUUGCUUAAUUGACCCAAGUUAGAUGGGAGGGAACCUGUGAGAUAAUUGUGAGAGAUAUCAAGGGAUUCUAAUUGUGUGAGAUUAUUUAAUGUAAUAGGAAAGGUCCCAUUGAAGGAGUUGCUAUUUAACCAAAAUAAUUGCAAGUUACUUAACUGACCCAAGUUAGAUGGGAGGAAACCUCUGAGAAAAUUUUCAGAGAUAUCAAGGUAUUCUAGUUGUGUGAGAUUAUUUAAUGAAAUAGGAAAGGUCCCAUUGAAGGAGUUGUUAUUUAACCCAAAUAAUUGCAAGUUACUUAAUUGACCCAAGUUAGAUGGGAGGGAACCUGUGAGAAAAUUGGACGAGAUAUCAAGGAAUUCUAAUUGUGUGAGAUUUGUAAUGGAAAUAGG
rnacentral:lncRNA from 1 species